CCUACGGGAGGCAGCAGUGAGGAAUAUUGGUCAAUGGCCGCAGUCCUGAACCAGCCAAGCCGCGUGAGGGAAGACGGCCCUAUGGGUUGUAAACCUCUUUUGUCAGGGAGCAAAGCGCGCCACGUGUCCCGCUUUGCGAGUAUCCGAAGAAAAAGCAUCGGCUAACUCCGUGCCAGCAGCCGCGGUAAUACGGAGGAUGCGAGCGUUAUCCGGAUUUAUUGGGUUUAAAGGGUGCGCAGGCGGUAUGUUAAGUCAGCGGUAAAAUUUCGGGGCUCAACCCCGUCGAGCCGUUGAAACUGGCGGACUUGAGUGAGCGAGAAGUACGCGGAAUGCGUGGUGUAGCGGUGAAAUGCAUAGAUAUCGCGCAGAACUCCGAUUGCGAAGGCAGCGUACCGGCGCUAGACUGACGCUGAGGCACGAAAGCGUGGGGAUCGAACAGGAUUAGAUACCCGAGUAGUC
rnacentral:rRNA from 1 species